rnacentral:rRNA from 1 species
AGUGAACGCUGGCGGUAGGCCUAACACAUGCAAGUCGAACGGCAGCACAGUAAGAGCUUGCUCUUACGGGUGGCGAGUGGCGGACGGGUGAGGAAUACAUCGGAAUCUACUUUUUCGUGGGGGAUAACGUAGGGAAACUUACGCUAAUACCGCAUACGACCUACGGGUGAAAGCAGGGGAUCUUCGGACCUUGCGCGAUUGAAUGAGCCGAUGUCGGAUUAGCUAGUUGGCGGGGUAAAGGCCCACCAAGGCGACGAUCCGUAGCGGGUCUGAGAGGAUGAUCAGCCACACUGGAACUGAGACACGGUCCAGACUCCUACGGGAGGCAGCAGUGGGGAAUAUUGGACAAUGGGCGCAAGCCUGAGCCAGCCAUACCGCGUGGGUGAAGAAGGCCUUCGGGUUGUAAAGCCCUUUUGUUGGGAAAGAAAAGCAGCAGGUUAAUACCCCGCUGUUCUGACGGUACCCAAAGAAUAAGCACCGGCUAACUUCGUG